rnacentral:rRNA from 1 species
UACGUAGGUGGCAAGCGUUGUCCGGAUUUAUUGGGUUUAAAGGGUGCGUAGGCGGCCUAUUAAGUCAGUGGUGAAAUAUUUCAGCUUAACUGGAAUUGUGCCAUUGAUACUGAUGGGCUUGAGUACAGAUGAGGUAGGCGGAAUUGACGGUGUAGCGGUGAAAUGCUUAGAUAUCGUCAAGAACACCGAUAGCGAAGGCAGCUUACUGGGCUGUAACUGACGCUGAGGAGCGAAAGCGUGGGGAGCGAACAGG